rnacentral:rRNA from 1 species
GAUCAUGGCUCAGGGUGAACGCUGGCGGCGUGCCUAAUACAUGCAAGUCGAGCGAACAGACGAGGAGCUUGCUCCUCUGACGUUAGCGGCGGACGGGUGAGUAACACGUGGAUAACCUACCUAUAAGACUGGGAUAACUUCGGGAAACCGGAGCUAAUACCGGAUAAUAUAUUGAACCGCAUGGUUCAAUAGUGAAAGACGGUUUUGCUGUCACUUAUAGAUGGAUCCGCGCCGCAUUAG